rnacentral:rRNA from 1 species
AGGCAGACGGCGAAGCAAGUCUGAAGUGAAAUGCAUGGGCUCAACCCAUGAAUUGCUUGGAAACUGUUUGGCUUGAGUGUCGGAGGGGUAAGCGGAAUUCCUAGUGUAGCGGUGAAAUGCGUAGAUAUUAGGAGGAACACCGGAGGCGAAGGCGGCUUACUGGACGACAACUGACGUUGAGGCUCGAAGGCGUGGGGAGCAAACA